GACGAACGCUGGCGGCGUGCUUAACACAUGCAAGUCGAACGGAAAGGCCCUGCUUUUGUGGGGUGCUCGAGUGGCGAACGGGUGAGUAACACGUGAGUAACCUGCCCUUGACUUUGGGAUAACUUCAGGAAACUGGGGCUAAUACCGGAUAGGAGCUCCUGCUGCAUGGUGGGGGUUGGAAAGUUUCGGCGGUUGGGGAUGGACUCGCGGCUUAUCAGCUUGUUGGUGGGGUAGUGGCUUACCAAGGCUUUGACGGGUAGCCGGCCUGAGAGGGUGACCGGCCACAUUGGGACUGAGAUACGGCCCAGACUCCUACGGGAGGCAGAAGGGGGGAAUAUUGAAAAAUGGGCGGAAGCCUGAUGCAGCAACGCCGCGUGCGGGAUGACGGCCUUCGGGUUGUAAACCGCUUUCGCCUGUGACGAAGCGUGAGUGACGGUAAUGGGUAAAGAAGCACCGGCUAACUACGUG
rnacentral:rRNA from 1 species